rnacentral:rRNA from 1 species
UACAGAGGUGGCAAGCGUUGUUCGGAAUUACUGGGCGUAAAGGGCGCGUAGGCGGCCUUCUAAGUCAGACGUGAAAUCCCCCGGCUUAACCUGGGAACUGCGUCUGAUACUGGGGGGCCUGAGUAUGGGAGAGGGAUGUAGAAUUCCAGGUGUAGCGGUGAAAUGCGUAGAGAUCGGGAGGAACAUCUGUGGCGAAGGCGGCCAUCUGGACCAGCACUGACACUGAGGCACGAAAGCGUGGGGAGCAAACAGG